AUCCCCUUUCCUUCCAGAUACAGUGUAGUAUCUGUUCUUAUCAGUUUAAUAUCUGAUAUGUCCUUGAUGAGAGGACUUUAUAUUAAAUGGAUUUUUGGGCUCGGGAGUUGGAUCUGGAGCUUGCUUUUUUUUUUUUUUUUUUUU
rnacentral:snRNA from 1 species